UUUAUUUGGAAUGAUGCGUGUCAAAGAAGCUUCCAAGAGUUGAAGCAAAGAUUGACGACCGUCCCGAUCCUAACCUUGCCAGUUGCGGAAGCAGGGUAUGUGGUUUAUAGUGAUGCAUCUUUUAAUGGAUUGGACUGUGUUUUGAUGCAGGACGGGAAAGUGAUUGCGUAUGCUUCUUGCCAAUUAAAGGAUUAUGAGAGGAACUAUCUUACGCAUGAUUUGGAGUUGGCGGCCGUAGUCUUUGCCUUGAAGCUAUGGCGCCAUUCUCUUUAUGCCGAGCGGUAUAAAGUAUAUACAGAUCACAAGAGCUUGAAGUACUUAUUUACUCAGAAAGAGUUGAACUUGAGGCAGCGCAGAUGGUUGGAGCUACUCAAGAAUUAUGAUUUGACGAUUCUUUACCACCCGGGCAAGGCUAACGUGGUAGCGGAUGCGCUAAGUCGGAAAUCGACGGAAAACUUAGCGAUACUUGUUGUUACUCAACCGCCGUUGAUCGAGCAGAUGAAGCGGUUGGAGUUGGAGGUGGUGGUUCCUGAUACACCAUUGAGGAUGAUGACAUUAGUGGUGCAACCUAUACUGUUGGAAAGGAUUAAAGAAAAGCAAACUCACGAUGUGGAGUUGCAAAGGAUUAGAGCUAAAAUGGUUGAUGGUUACACUGGUGAUUUCACCGUAGAUGAUCUUGGAUUGAUGCAUUUCCGCGGUCGGAUUUGUGUACCGGCGGAAACGACUCUUAAAGAGGAUAUUCUUCAAGAAGCACACCGUGCACCCUAUGCUAUACAUCCGGGAGGCACCAAGAUGUAUAAGGACUUGAAGUUGCUUUAUUGGUGGCCCGGAAUGAAAAAGGAUGUUGGCGAGUUUGUAGCUCGAUGUCUAACUUGCCAACAGGUGAAAGCUGAGCACCGAGUUCCCGCGAGGAAAUUGCAGAGCUUACCGAUUCCAGUGGGAAAAUGGAAGAAGAUCACCAUGGAUUUCGUGAUGGAAUUGCCUCGCUCACAGGCCGCGCAUGAUGCUAUUUGGGUGAUCGUGGAUAGGUUGGCGAAAUCAGCUCAUUUCAUACCUAUUCAUACUACUUGGACUGGUGAGAGGCUCGCACUGGUAUAUCUUGAUGAGAUUGUGCGAUUGCACGGGGAACCUACUUCUAUAGUUUCUGAUCAAGAUCCCCUUUUUGUAUCUCACUUUUGGAGGAGUCUGCAGGAUGCCUUGGGCACACGCUUGGAUUUCAGCAAGCUUUCCACCCCCAGAGUGAUGGGCAGUCAGAGCGCACGAUACAGACUCUUGAAGACAUGCUUCGAGCAUGUGUGAUUGACUUUCAGGGAGGAUGGUCGCAGCAUCUAUCGAUGGCAGAGUUUGCUUAUAACAACAGUUAUCAAGCAAGCAUCAAGAUGGCGCCCUUCAAAGCACUUUAUGGACGGAAGUGUAGAUCGCCACUUCAUUGGAGUAAAGUUGGCGAGAGAUUGGCUUUAAGCCCCGAUGGGCUCCAGGAAGUAGAGGACAAGGUUCGCAUUGCUUAGGAGCGAUUGUUGACGGCCCAGAUUAGGCAAAAGAGUUAUGCUGAUAAGCGUCGACAAGACUUGGAGUUUGAGAUUGGAGAUCAUGUCUUCUUGAAAGUCUUGCCGACCAAGGGAUUAGAAGAUUUGGGAUCCGGGGUAAGUUGAGCCCCCGAUUUAUUGGACCGUAUGAGGUUUUGGAGUGUGUAGGCCCGGUAGCGUAUCAACUUGCUCUACCGCCAAACCUAUCAGGCGUACAUAAUGUCUUUCAUGUAUCGGUCCUUCGAAUGUGCAUCCACGAUCUGGCUCACAUUUUGGAUUCUACACCAUUGGAGCUGAGGGAUGAUUUGAGCUUCGAGGAGCAACCUGUGAGGAUCUUGGCUCGCGAGGUGAAGAAGCUACGGAACCGUGAUAUCCCAUAUGUGAAGGUACUUUCGAGCAACCACAACGAGCGGGAGGCCACGUGGGAGCUGGAGAGUGCGCUGCAGGAGCGCUAUCCCCAUCUUUUUCAGAUGGAGUUUUGAAGUACUUUGUUUUUGAGUUUUGUGGACGAAACUCCUUUUUAGGAGGGUGAAUGUAACACACUGGACCUUUGCAAAUUGCGAGGUUCGAGUGUUUGAUGUGUGUUUCAAGUUUUUCCAGAUAUUCUGGAGGGUCGUUGACAGUGUGCCGACCUAUGGCUCGCAUCCCAAGAAUCGAGGUUUAAAGCUUAGCACCAAGGUCUCUAAAGUGAGAAUUAUUGGCAGCUCUCGAGUUGGAUUCUGCAGGGUUGUGUACCGGUACAACAUUGAUGUUGUACCGGAACAAGAUGUUGUACCGGUACAACAUUGGAUCUGUACCGGUACAGAAGGCUGAUCUCUGCCAACCCGAGGCUCGGGUUGCUACCUGGCUGGUUUUGUACCGGUACACUUUCCCGUUUACCGGUACACAGUGCAGUUUCUGUGAGAUAUGGAUCCCGAGGAUCUAAAAGGUGAAAAACACCUAGAGGGGGGUGAAUAGGUGUAAACGGUAAAAAAAAAAAACUCGAUGCGAAUAUAAAGUAAAUGCGGAAAAUAAAAUCAGCACACCGAGAAAUAACGUGGAAAAACUCCAAAUCGGAGAGAAAAACCCACGGGACCGAUCACACAAAGAAAUCCACUAAGAAAACAUGAGUAUAAGUGAUUUAGCAAAAAUACAAGACUCUAAAUACCGAAUCCUCGUUGUAGAUUAUCUUUGCCAGUCCACGACCGCUUGGAAUCCUCCAACCGAUCACACUGCAAGUCCUUGCAGCCGCACACGCCUCGAUUCCAUGAAAAGCCCACCGAAUCCAUGGUCUCCACGCGAGAUCCACGCGCUAACGCUCCAUCCGAAGCUCGUAGAAAUUCAACAAUUUGUGGUGAUUUAAAAUCUUUGAAAGCACAUAUAAUAUGAGGAGAAACCCAAAUUAAAGCAUCACCAAUUUGAUCCUUAACGAAAAUUUGAAUCAAAAUCAAAGAAUCAAAUUGGCGAUCUAAUGNAGAUCAGACCCGAGGCUGUUUCGAAGACGGUUUUUAGAACACGGUAUGGACAUUAUGAGUUUACCGUUAUGCCGUUUGGGCUUACUAAUGCCCCGACAGCUUUUAUGAAUCUAAUGAACCGUAUUUUUAAGCCUUAUCUAGACAUGUUCAUCGUAAUGUUCAUCGACGACAUCUUAGUUUAUUCCCGAAGUGAUGCGGAUCACAAGGAACACUUGAGACUUGUACUUCAAGUGCUUCGGGAAAAGAAGCUCUUUGCCAAGUUGAAGAAAUGUGAGUUUUGGCUUAGAAAGUGGCGUUUUUGGGUCAUUUAGUUUCGGGAUCAGGUAUAGCCGUGGAUCCUAGGAAGAUUGAGGCAAUCGAGGAUUGGCCGAGGCCGACGAAUGUUACGGAGAUUCGAAGCUUUCUUGGCUUGGCCGGCUACUACCGGAGAUUCGUCGAGGGAUUUGCAAAGUUGUCUACUCCCCUCACGAGACUCACGCAUAAAGGCACCAAGUUUAUUUGGAAUGAUGCAUGUGAAAGAAGCUUCCAAGAGUUGAAGCAAAGAUUGACGACCGCCCCGAUCCUAACCUUGCCAGUUGCGGAAGCAGGGUAUGUGGUUUAUAGUGAUGGAUCUUUUAAUGGAUUGGACUGUGUUUUGAUGUAGGACGGGAAAGUGAUUGCGUAUGCUUCUUGCCAAUUAAAGGAUUAUGAGAGGAACUAUCCUACGCAUGAUUUGGAGUUGGUAGCCGUAGUCUUUGCCUUGAAGCUAUGGCGUCAUUAUCUUUAUGGCGAGCGGUGUGAAGUAUAUACAGAUCACAAGAG
rnacentral:lncRNA from 1 species